GCAGGCCUAACACAUGCAAGUCGAGCGGUAGAGAGAAGCUUGCUUCUCUUGAGAGCGGCGGACGGGUGAGUAAUGCCUAGGAAUCUGCCUGGUAGUGGGGGAUAACGUUCGGAAACGGACGCUAAUACCGCAUACGUCCUACGGGAGAAAGCAGGGGACCUUCGGGCCUUGCGCUAUCAGAUGAGCCUAGGUCGGAUUAGCUAGUUGGUGGGGUAAUGGCUCACCAAGGCGACGAUCCGUAACUGGUCUGAGAGGAUGAUCAGUCACACUGGAACUGAGACACGGUCCAGACUCCUACGGGAGGCAGCAGUGGGGAAUAUUGGACAAUGGGCGAAAGCCUGAUCCAGCCAUGCCGCGUGUGUGAAGAAGGUCUUCGGAUUGUAAAGCACUUUAAGUUGGGAGGAAGGGCAGUAAAUUAAUACUUUGCUGUUUUGACGUUACCGACAGAAUAAGCACCGGCUAACUCUGUGCCAGCAGCCGCGGUAAUACAGAGGGUGCAAGCGUUAAUCGGAAUUACUGGGCGUAAAGCGCGCGUAGGUGGUUAGUUAAGUUGGAUGUGAAAUCCCCGGGCUCAACCUGGGAACUGCAUUCAAAACUGACUGACUAGAGUAUGGUAGAGGGUGGUGGAAUUUCCUGUGUAGCGGUGAAAUGCGUAGAUAUAGGAAGGAACACCAGUGGCGAAGGCGACCACCUGGACUGAUACUGACACUGAGGUGCGAAAGCGUGGGGAGCAAACAGGAUUAGAUACCCUGGUAGUCCACGCCGUAAACGAUGUCAACUAGCCGUUGGGAGCCUUGAGCUCUUAGUGGGCGCAGCUAACGCAUUAAGUUGACCGCCUGGGGAGUACGGCCGCAAGGUUAAA
rnacentral:rRNA from 1 species